AGCGAACGCUGGCGGCAUGCUUAACACAUGCAAGUCGCACGAAGGUUUCGGCCUUAGUGGCGGACGGGUGGGUAACGCGUAGGAAUCUAUCCAUGGGUGGGGGAUAACUCUGGGAAACUGGAGCUAAUACCGCAUGACACCUUAGGGUCAAAGGCGCAAGUCGCCUGUGGAGGAGCCUGCGUUUGAUUAGCUUGUUGGUGGGGUAAUGGCCUACCAAGGCGAUGAUCAA
rnacentral:rRNA from 1 species